ensembl:lncRNA
GGGGAGGUGGGUGAGAGGGGGGAGGUGGCAGAGGUGGGGGAGGCGGGGGAGGUGAUAGAGGUGGCAGAGGUGGGGGAGGCUUCAUCUUCCGGCAGAAGAACCCACCGGGAGUCUGCCGAUCCCCAGGGGGUGGUUCAGAGUCCUGCUCCGGGACCCACCGACGGAGCGCAGCCUGUUGUCCCGCAGCCUGUUGUCCCGCAGCCUGUUGUCCCGCAGCCUGUUGUCCCGCAGCCUGUUGUCCCGCAGCCUGUUGUCCCGCACCCUGUCCCCUCCCCGAAGGAACUUGGAGAACAGAGCAGCGACGCCCCCCCUGAGCAGCGUGGGGGUUGUCGUCCGGAGAGCCCAGAGGGACCCACCCAACACGCCAAGUGCAAUAUCAGCAACAGGAACACAGAGGAGCGCAUAGAAGGUCUCUCCGUGCUGAGCUUGGAGUCGAGGGACACGUGUUCAAAAGCCGCCACCAACACUGACAAGGCAAGAGAGAACGGGAAAAUUGUCUGAGGCGAUUUCUGAAAUAAAAUAACUGCAACCAAAACACAGUGUUGACAUCGAAGACUUACCCAGCUGGAGUUUAAAACUUUUACUUCCUGUUUGCCUUUUAUUUAUCUUUUCUAUUGCUUUGUGAAGUUGCCAUUGUGCUGGGCUGUGUGUGUGUGUCCCAAUCGUUGCGUGAGCACAGCAUUGUUGGC